UCGGUCUGACACGGUACGUAAAAAGCACGGCUCAGCACGAGCGUGUUCGUUGGUCGUAGGCCGGACAUAGGCCACAAAUUCUUUUGGAAACACGACAAGGCACGGCACGACUUGAUCACAGAUUCUUUGCUGCAUAGGGUGGGGGGUGAAACUAACUCCUCGAUGCAACAGACUCAGCUGGGCCUUGGCUUCUUUGCCACAUGAUCUACCUCCUUCAUCUCCUCUCUUCUUCUUGACUUCAAACAGGGGCUUCUUUGGCUUUUUAGCAUGUCCCUGCAUUUUCCAUAAAGCAAAGGAAUUGAUGGCCAUUGUUAUCAGUCAGAUCAUUUAUGGCGGCUGAAUAGUCGUAGAAUAAGGAGUCUCCUACUCACAAUCCGGGCCUUCAUUCUACACGUGAUGAUGCUACUAUGGGUUACAAUGUUACAUCAUACAACAAUCUAUGUUUUGAAUGAAGGACCCGAAAGUAAUGACCCUAUAUUUCUACUCUCGUGAAUUGGGCAUGUCACAAGUUUUCUUCCAUUAGGGGAAUAUAUCCUUUCUCCAAAUUUGAAGUUUUGAAGACAUUGAAGAAAUGAAGGCGCAUAUCAGUUUACACAUUUUUAUUAUUUUACA